rnacentral:rRNA from 1 species
CAGUCGCCGCGGGAAUACGCAGGGUGCGAGCGUUGUUCGGAAUUACUGGGCGUAAAGCGCACGCAGGCGAUUUGUUAAGUCAGAUGUGAAAUCCCCGAGCUUAACUUGGGAACUGCAUUUGAAACUGGCAAGCUAGAGUCUUGUAGAGGGGGGUAGAAUUCCAGGUGUAGCGGUGAAAUGCGUAGAGAUCUGGAGGAAUACCGGUGGCGAAGGCGGCCCCCUGGACAAAGACUGACGCUCAGGUGCGAAAGCGUGGGGAGCAAACAGGAUUAGAGACCCGUGUAGUCCCUGUCUCUUAUAC